rnacentral:lncRNA from 1 species
CUGAAUUAGAUAUCCUUCCAACGAGACUGUCUUGCUUCCAAGUGCCAAAAUACCUGCAGAGGGUUAUCUCUAAUGCUUCAGCUUGUCUCGGUUACAAGGACAGAGUGUGAAAAGAGAGGCAGAUUCAAAAGAUGCAAAGAAGAGACUGAAACAAGGAACCUGUUCUGAUUAUGGAAACAGUGCAUAAAAUCUAUCUAACACAUGAUAAUAUGUUCUAGUGCCCACAAUGCUGCUGAACUGAAACUUGAAAAUUAGCUUUACAAGAUGCUCAGUGUAAUUUAACCUGGAAACAAAAAAGCAUGGAGAACUAUAGUGAGGGACUCGGACAGAAAAGGGCACAAGCUCUGUGCCAGCUAAAGAUAGAAAAAGUGCUUUUGGCUGCUGUCUGGACAUCCACAAGCAGCUCUGCCCAGCCAGAACAUCCUAGGAGCAGCAAUCAGCACCCAGUCCGUCCUUGUCUGGAGCUGUGAGUAGACUCUCAAGAAGAAAUGGAGAAACCCAAUCUACAUUUAAAGGAUGAUGAGAAGCAGCAGCAUGAAACGCUGAGGAGAGGUGGCAGCUCAAAGGCUGGACAAUAUCACCGCAUGGGUUUGGCAAAGUCAGAGAGGAGGUGCCACAGGACACAUCUCGAAGGCUAUGAGGACUCUGGUAGCUCACCUUAUUCCAUCUUAGCUCCGACUGGCAACCAGGGAGAGCAUAGUCAUGUCUACAUUUCACUCUAAGCUCUACUACAAACAAAUAAAACAAUGCCUUUUUUGAAGCUUGCUGUGCCU